rnacentral:lncRNA from 1 species
GCCCUGUUUAGUUCAAAAAAAUUCUUUUCACCUCAUUAUAUCGAAUCUUUAAACGCAUACAUGAAACAUUAAAUAUAGAUAAAAAAUCUAAUUACACAGUUUAUAUGUAAUUUAAAAAAACAAAUCUUUUAAAUUUAAUUAAUCCAUAAUUAGAUAUUAAUUACUAAAUAAACAAAAAAUGCUACGAUAGCCAAAUUUAAAAAAAAACAUAAACUAAACAAGGCAUUACUUGGUGACUGCGGCGGAAUAGAAGCUUUAUGUAAGAUGGCGAUGCUGGAGCUGGACAACAAUAGAGGUUUUCUGGAUGUGUUGUCAACCACAGACAUAGCUCGACUGCUCCCUGCUUUUCUCUCUAUUUUCAGUGCCUGUAGCUAAUUAUAAACUCUAUUUCGGUUAUUUAUCUGAACGUUUUUCUAGCAAUCCUAGC